rnacentral:rRNA from 1 species
UCACGCACUUUUUUUUCGGAAAAGGUGUAAUGAACGUUGAGACGGGUAGGAAGGUCGCGACAGUGUUGCUUUGAAGAGUUUUGAGCGUGAGCUCGCUCGGAGCCGCUGUUGGUGCAGAUCUUGGUGGUAGUAGCAAAUAUUCAAGUGAGAACCUUGAAGGCUGAAGUGGAGCAAGGUUCCAUGUGAACAGCAGUUGGACAUGGGUCAGUCGAUCCUAAGAAAACGGCGAAAGCUUGUUCGAAUUUGCGACAUGAAUUGUAAGACUGAAUAAUUAUUUGUGUGUGUGUUGUGGUGGAGGCGAUUGUGUCGUCACCAGUUGUUGUUGUGUGCAGUUGUCGUAUGUUUUCGAAAGGGAAUCCGGUUGAUAUUCCGGAACCGAGUAACGGAGACAAAGAGUAGCGCUUUAAUCUCUCUGUGGGGUUGGCGUUCAACUCAAUCGCGCGGUAACGCAAGCGAACUCGGAAAAUGACCGUCGUGAGUUUCGAAAAGAGUUUUCUUUUCUUUUUAAGGGACGCAUUCCCUGGAACCGGGUUGUCCGGAGAUAGGGAUUC